CCUCCCGGGCCACCCGGCCUGCGGCGAAAUGUUGCGUUAAGGGAAAGGUCGUUUAUAAACCUUUCGACCACGAGCACGCUAAGUACGCCACGAAAUGGGCAAUUCCAACUAACCUUGGAUCUGUCUCCAUGGAGGGUGUUAGACCCGUGUGGGCUCGUGUUAAAGUCGAGCGGGCAAGGCCUCUUCCCAGAGAGUCGCGUUGUUUGAACAUGCAGCGCUAAGCAGGUCGUAAACUCGAUCUAAGGCUAAAUAUUUCCACAGAACCGAUAGUGCACAAGUACCGUGAGGGAAAGUUGAAAAGUACUCUGAAGAGAGAGUCAAAAGACCGUGAAACCGCUCAGAGUAUAAGCCAAUGGUGUCUGGAAGGCUGUUUGCUGGCGCAUGAUUGAUCAUUGGCAUGCAGAGAUGGGUUCGCUCAAGAAGGUGGCCGUUGCCCGUACCCACGGGAACCGGACUGGUAUGAGUCUCUGGCGUGCUUUGGUGCGAAACCUGCGUGAGAGGGGGCAACUUCUCUUUCGUGGGUGGCUGUGCCGGGCGCGUUGAGUGGACUGGCGUACAUUUAUCUGCAAUUGCCUAAGCAGCAACACGAAGCCCACCACAGCACGUUGUAAGGUCACCCACAGGCGCUGCUGUUGCUGGUUGCGUCCCCGUACCACACUUGAUCUUGGAGGCAAAAUCGUGGAGUAACGCGGGGACGGGUAGCAAGGGCUUUAACCGGCCCUAAGCACGUACUGGUAUGAUCCUAUGCGACGAGCUGCUUUCUGGUCUGUACAGUGAGUCGGGAUGGUGUUCCGAUUGCCGGUUCCUAUCUCUUUGUGCUGUCUGCGGGAUCUUCUCCGAGCAGCCGACUCCUGUCAGAGUGGUGAUCAGUCCAGCCCCAUCGGUCACGUCUCGAAACACGGGCCAAGGAGUAUAGCAUGUGUGCAAGUCUAAGGGUUCCACAAAACCUGGAGGCGAAGUGAAAGCAAAGUUGCGGCGGUUGGCCCUUAACGGGGUUGGCCGUCGGACGUUGCAUUCUUCGGAGUGCAGCUUUCAGCAGCGCAAGCUGCUGCAGGGCUGAUUGAGACUAGUAAAGGCAAACUGUCCAAAGUCUUACGCAAGCCCCGGGCUCGCAGUCGGCGGAGAGCGCAAGCCCUCUGCCAUGCAAGCACCGCUGAGCAUGCAUGCUAUGACCCGAAAGAUAGUGAACUAUGCUUGACGAGGGCGAAGCCCCAGGAAACUGGGGUGGAGGCCCGAAGCCGUGG
rnacentral:rRNA from 1 species